GUUUUCAUACAAGUCUCAGUAAGAAGCACUCAAUCUUUAUGCUCCCAGCUAUUAAUCAUGGAAGUUCCGAAGGAUCAAAUCGCCACCCUUCUCGAGAAUGGCCUCUACGACUCUGCUCAAAUGCUCGGUUGUUUUCUUGUUUCGUCACCCACUGUUAAUGCUGAAACCAACCUACACCUCAAAGCCGAGAGCCAGGCGCUUCUUGGUGAUUCGUUGUUCCGCGAAAGGGAGUAUCGCAGAGCCAUUCACAACUACAAGCAAGCUCUGCAAUACUACAAGAUGAUCCCCAAACAAAACACUCCCUCAUCCCGGAGUUCACUGUCAUCAAACAGGUCGUCUUCUCCAAAUUCUUACAAUGUAUCAGCAAUCAAUGAAAAUGAGGUGAAGUUCAAAAUCGCAUCAUGCCAUUAUUCCCUGAAUGAAAAUAAGGCAGCUCUUGUGGAGAUGGAAGGAAUUCCAAGCAAAGCCAGAAAUUUGCAGAUGAAUUUGUUAAUGGCAAAGCUUUAUAGAAAUUCUAGACAUAAUCGAGCUGCUGUUGCAAUUUACAAAGAAUGUCUAAGGCAUUGUCCUUUCAUAAUUGAGGCAAUCACAGCUUUAGCAGAACUGGGAUCGACUGCAAAGGAUAUUAUUUCUUUGUUUCCUCAGAAUCCACAUAGAAGUGGGAGAGCUCAAUAUGAUCAUUUUGAAUCAUGUCGUUGGCUUCAGCGCUAUGUUGAGGCUCAGUGUUGCAUGGCUUCAAAUGACUACAAAGGUGGCUUGGAACUAUUUGAGGACCUCUUGCAACGUUUCCCUAAUAAUAUACACUUGCUACUUGAGAUUGCAAAGGUUGAGGCUAUAAUUGGCAAGAAUGAGGAAGCCAUUAUGAAUUUUGAGAAGGCUCGGUCAAUUGAUCCAUAUAUUAUAACAUAUAUGGAUGAGUAUGCAAUGCUUUUGAAGUUGAAGUCUGAUCAUUCAAAGCUGAACAAGUUAGUGCAUGAUUUGUUAAAUAUUGAUCCUGCAAGACCAGAGGUUUUUGUAGCUCUAUCUGUUCUAUGGGAAAGGAAAGAUGAGAGAAGAGCACUUUCUUAUGCCGAGCAGAGUAUUCGAAUCAAUGAAAGGCACAUACCUGGAUAUAUAAUGAAGGGAAAUUUAUUAUUGACAAUGAAACGGCCAGAAGCAGCCGUGGUUGCCUUUAGGGGUGCUCAAGAAUUGAGACCUGACAUUCGCUCAUAUCAAGGUUUGGUCCAUACUUAUCUGGCUCUCUCUAAAAUCAAAGAGGCUUUAUAUGCUUCAAGAGAAGCAAUGAAAGCAAUGCCACAAUCUGCAAAGGCUUUAAAACUAGUUGGUGAUGUACACGCAAGUAAUUCUACUGGCAGAGAAAAGGCAAAAAAGUUCUAUGAGUCAGCAUUGAGGCUGGAACCAGGUUACCUGGGAGCUGCCCUAGCUUUAGCUGAGCUCCAUGUUAUUGAAGGCCGGAAUGGAGAUGCUGUGUCUUUACUUGAGCGAUAUCUGAAAGAUUGGGCUGAUGACUCUCUUCAUGUGAAACUGGCCCAAGUUUUUGCUGCUACUAACAUGCUGCAGGACGCUUUGUUACAUUAUCAGGCUGCAUUAAGGAGUAUGAUACCCACCACCUGGCAUUUGAUAUAUUGAAAGAACCUAACUAGUUGCCUUCUGCCAAUGUAGUUAGCUUUGUGCGCUAGACAUUCUUUUCAAAGCAUGAAAGCAUUAUUUCAUCUCAUUAAACAUGCCAAAAGCGUUGAUACUUUUUUCUUGCAUUAUUUAUUGUCUUUAUUGUAUUUAGGAUGCAUGCUGCUUGUCUGUUAAGAUGACGAAGCCAAAGUGGUGCUUAGUCAAGCUCCCACAUGAAACUGAUUUUAUCAUGAAAAUAAGAUAAAUUGAGGAAUUUCAAGAAUGGAGGGAAAAAUCUCAUGCAGAUAAUUGACUUUACUGAUAGGAAGUAUAUAUGAUGGGAGAUUUUUCUGUUACAUUUCAUGAGCUGGGUUAGAAAAAGGUAGGGUAUUGGGUACAAUAUACUUCAUUGGUUAUUGCUGUUUAUUCUAAUAUUUUAUAAAGCAUAGGAAGCCACGCCCAUUAUAUUCUGAACAGUGCAACUCAUUCCUUAAACUCCAUGCAAGGCAUGGGAGGCCCACAUUUCUUUAUUCUAUAUUCUUUUUGACGUGUUUUUCAAGUGUAAUGGAAUAAAAAGAAUGGUAAACUAUGUUAGUCGGUUUUUUUAUGAAAACAUUGUGGCAAUGGCGCAUCUAGGACUAGAAGGAAUUGGUUUGUCCAAGCUUCAUAUGUUGGGGACCACUUGAUUUCUGAUAACCAUUAACAGUUACGGGUAAAUAAUGGAAUAUGGUUUGUAUUUAGGCUCAUCAGAUCAAGACUAAGUUCUUUCCACGUUAUAGAAAGGUUUCCCUCUUCGCAGGAAUUGUUUCUAUAAUCAUGUGCUCAUGAAUUUAUUCUACUUCUAACUAUUAGCAAGCAUUGCAGGUUAAACCAGCAGAAUGAAGCAGCAAAACGGGGGUUAGAGCGUUUAGAGAAGCAGAUGAAGGGAGUGGACCCAGAUGCACCUGAAGAAGAUGA